UGGAAAUCGGUCAUUUUGUUUGGAACAUCUUGGAUUGUACACUGAUGCCUUGUUCGAUGCGGAGAUCGCUAUAUAUCUAAACCCAACAUGGCCCCGGGGAUACUUCAGACAAGCGCGGGCUUGCAUUGGACUGAAGCGUUACAGAGAGGCAGAAAGUGCGUUAUGUCAGCUGAUUUCUUUAAAUGUGUCUUCUGAAGAAGCAAAACAAGAGCUUAGGAAAGUGCGAACACUUCUCCUUGUGGAGAUGGGCUUUCCACAGCAGCAGUCGGAGGCUGCAAUCUUGGAGUACGACACGGUGUACGCCGCUUCAGAAGCACUGCUUCGAAACACAGGUUCCUUGUCAACAUCCGGUGUGGGCAACGUGGGGAUACAGAAUGAUAAACCACCAAGUCCUCAGCCUACUGUAGAUGUCGCCGCACAGAGGAGCCAAGACUCACGUGGUGCUUUGGGCAAUUCUCCAGUGCCUCCACCACCUUCGUGAGUAACGCACCAUCGCUGUGACACUUGAAUCCGUAGCGUAAUGUCAUGGUUUUGCUUGAUA